rnacentral:rRNA from 1 species
UACGGAGGGUGCGAGCGUUGUCCGGAAUCAUUGGGCGUAAAGGGCGCGUAGGCGGCUUCUCAAGCGUGCGGUGAAAGUCAGGGGCUCAACCCCUGAUCGGCCGUGCGAACUGGGGGGCUGGAGCACUGUAGAGGCAGGCGGAAUUCCUAGUGUAGCGGUGAAAUGCGCAGAUAUUAGGAAGAACACCGGUGGCGAAGGCGGCUCUCUGGACGGCUAUUGACGCUGAGACGCGAAAGCGUGGGGAGCAAACAGG